UAGGGAAUCUUCGGCAAUGGACGAAAGUCUGACCGAGCAACGCCGCGUGAGUGAAGAAGGUUUUCGGAUCGUAAAACUCUGUUGUUAGAGAAGAACAAGGACGUUAGUAACUGAACGUCCCCUGACGGUAUCUAACCAGAAAGCCACGGCUAACUACGUGCCAGCAGCCGCGGUAAUACGUAGGUGGCAAGCGUUGUCCGGAUUUAUUGGGCGUAAAGCGAGCGCAGUCGGUUUCUUAAGUCUGAUGUGAAAGCCCCCGGCUCAACCGGGGAGGGUCAUUGGAAACUGGGAGACGUGAGUGCAGAAGAGGAGAGUGGAAUUCCAUGUGUAGCGGUGAAAUGCGUAGAUAUAUGGAGGAAAACCAGUGGCGAAGGCGGCUCUCUGGUCUGUAACUGACGCUGAGGCUCGAAAGCGUGGGGAGCAAACAGG
rnacentral:rRNA from 1 species